CUAAAUGAAUUUGAGAUAUCUUGAAUUAUUCAGCUUUUCCAUUUAAGAUAUCUUAAAUUGACAUUCUGACUAGUCAAAAUGACAUUACUGAUAUCUUGAAUUAGCAUUCUGUCUAGUCAAAACGUCACAGAUUUACGUAACAUUUUGGCGGAUACUAGCCUUCGGCUACUUGAUUAUGCUAUUCAGUGGUCCACAGUGUCAGAUCAGUCCAGCUCAAAUGUUCGUGUUUUUAACAAUAUUCAGCGCUGCAACUCGUGCUUGACAUGAAUUAAGAAAUACAUGUUGCAGAGAAUAAUUUAUUCUUUGCAACAAGAAGACUUUUUCGACGUCAAGUGCAGAGAAGUCAAGAUGUACAAAGACUGAAGGACCAUGGAUUAGGCCUGUGCAUGAGGGGACAGAAACCAGAAGCUCCAAAAUUAACCUGAAUUGGAGCUUGUCUGAACUGAACAACUUUGUGUGUCAAAGCUACCCACACAUCAGCCUAAAUCUGGUUGGCUUUGAACUGGCAAGAGCUGGAAAAGGACGAAAGGAAACCUGUCAACCUCAGCAAUGUCCAGGAGUUUGUUUGCAGAACCCUCAACUGCACCAGAAGUACAGGACGUCUCUCCAGAGGUUGAGAGAGUACCAACAGACAACAUUUGGAGGAAGAGCAGAUUGGCGAUCUCUGCGGUCCCAGCAAGACGAAGAGUAUGAAGAGUCG